GGUAUAGUUCUUCGGAAUUAGAGACCGGCGCACGGGUGCGCAACGCGUAUGCAAUCUACCUUUUACAGAGGGAUAGCCCAGAGAAAUUUGGAUUAAUACCUCAUAGUAUGUGAGAAUGGCAUCAUUUUCACAUUAAAGUCACAACGGUAAGAGAUGAGCAUGCGUCCCAUUAGCUAGUUGGUAAGGUAACGGCUUACCAAGGCUACGAUGGGUAGGGGUCCUGAGAGGGAGAUCCCCCACACUGGUACUGAGACACGGACCAGACUCCUACGGGAGGCAGCAGUGAGGAAUAUUGGUCAAUGGACGCAAGUCUGAACCAGCCAUGCCGCGUGCAGGAUGACGGUCCUAUGGAUUGUAAACUGCUUUUGUACAGGAAGAAACAACAUUACGUGUAAUGUCUUGACGGUACUGUAAGAAUAAGGAUCGGCUAACUCCGUGCCAGCAGCCGCGGUAAUACGGAGGAUCCAAGCGUUAUCCGGAAUCAUUGGGUUUAAAGGGUCCGUAGGCGGUUUAGUAAGUCAGUGGUGAAAGCCCAUCGCUCAACGGUGGAACGGCCAUUGAUACUGCUAAACUUGAAUUAUUAGGAAGUAACUAGAAUAUGUAGUGUAGCGGUGAAAUGCUUAGAGAUUACAUGGAAUACCAAUUGCGAANGCAGGUUACUACUAAUGGAUU
rnacentral:rRNA from 1 species